GAUGAACGCUGACAGAAUGCUUAACACAUGCCAGUCAACUUGAAUUUGGGUUUUUAACUUAGGUUUGGGUGGCGGACGGGUGAGUAACGCGUAAAGAACUUGCCUCACAGCUAGGGACAACAUUUGGAAACGAAUGCUAAUACCUAAUAUUAUGAUAAUAGGGCAUCCUAUAAUUAUGAAAGCUAUAAGCGCUGUGAGAGAGCUUUGCGUCCCAUUAGCUAGUUGGAGAGGUAACGGCUCACCAAGGCGAUGAUGGGUAGCCGGCCUGAGAGGGUGAUCGGCAACAAGGGGACAGAGACACGGCCAUUACUCCUACGGGAGGCAGCAGUGGGGAAUAUUGGACAAUGGACCGAGAGUCUGAUCCAGCAAUUCUGUGUGCACGAUGAAGUUUUUCGGAAUGUAAAGUGCUUUCAGUUGGGAAGAAACAAAUGACGGUACCAACAGAAGAAGUGACGGCUAAAUACGU
rnacentral:rRNA from 1 species